UGAAGCAUGAGAUACCUGAAAGUGUUAAUUUGGUGACUCAUGAUAAGAGAAAUGCGAAGAAGGGCAAAAGUGUUCCUAUGAAGAAGAAAGGCAUUGUUGAUAAAGAUUCUUGCCGUUUCUGUAGAAAGAAGGGACACUGGAAGAAAUAUUGCCCGAAAUACAAGAAAUGGCUUGAGAAGAAAGGGUUUUCUAACUCUAAGGAAGCCGAUGGGAAGUGAACAAAAGGUUUAUUCUGGAAAUGGGAUGCCAUCAACUGUGGAAGGCGUGGGGACUUAUAGGCUCAUUUUAAAAGAUGGUUUUCAAUUAGAUUUAGAAAAACUUUUUAUGUUCCAUCGUAUUCUAGAAAUUUAAUUUCUCUUUCAAGACUAGCA